rnacentral:rRNA from 1 species
UACGGAGGGAGCUAGCGUUGUUCGGAAUUACUGGGCGUAAAGCGCACGUAGGCGGCUUUUUAAGUCAGGGGUGAAAUCCCGGGGCUCAACCCCGGAACUGCCCUUGAAACUGGGAAGCUAGAAUCCUGGAGAGGCGAGUGGAAUUCCGAGUGUAGAGGUGAAAUUCGUAGAUAUUCGGAAGAACGCCAGUGGCGAAGGCGACUCGCUGGACAAGUAUUGACGCUGAGGUGCGAAAGCGUGGGGAGCAAACAGG